AUGUAUAUUUUUUGCUUUACGCGAUUUUAAUAUUACUACGCCAGCGGUCGAUCAUAGCCAAAGUACUUGCAUAAAUAUAGUACAAAUUACAUGUAGUCACAAGUUAAUUAAGUGUCAUAGAACUCAAAAAUUUAGCAAGUAAUGGAAUACGGAUUUCAGAUCAGCUAACUUUAAAGCUUAUAGGGCCUAAUGCUUCAUAAGUGUAAAUUUAAGAAAAACAAUGCAUGCGUAUGAAUACGAACUAUUUUCGCCCUAACGUCAUUUUACCGCAAUCGCCAUUGUUUACAAGUUCAUCCGUGAAAGAUUGAGAAGUUUAUAUAGAAGUUCCACGUGUUAAAACGAGUUGUUUGUGAAUAAAGGCUUGUUUGUUAGAUUUCAAUUGUGGCUCAGUUGGUUGUUUGCUGAGAAGCUGUGAAACAUAAUUAUACAGGCCAUUAAGGAGGUUUUUGUCAGAUUGAUGAAUGUGAAAUUAAGAGGACCCAUUUUGAGGAUGCUUUUUAUGAAUGGAAUCACGAGAGAUGAAGUCUAAAAUGUGAUACUGUCAAUGUGACUAACCUUGAAGUAAACAGAUGACACAAUGUUUUUCAAUGUCAUGGGCAUAUAAUGAAGAGAAAACAGAGAUGCUUGUUUGACAGAUACAGUAAUAGUAGGAGUUAUGAGGGAAGAUAGAAUGCAGUGAUAACUAUAUUGAGGCACCACUUCAUCACCAAGAACAUGAAAUGAAUUAUCAAUGUUUUCGGUGUGUUUGAACACCCAU